rnacentral:rRNA from 1 species
GACGAACGCUGGCGGCGUGCCUAAUACAUGCAAGUAGGACGAGUUGCGAAAGGGUGAGUAACGCGUAGGAACCUAACUAUUAGAGGGGGAUAACUAGUGGAAACGAUAGCUAAUACCGCAUACUAGUGGAUGGACCUACGUUGUAUUAGCUAGUAGGUAGGGUAAUGGCCUACCUAGGCAACGAUACAUAGCCGCCCGGAGAGGAUGAUCAGUCACACUGGAACGGAGACACGGUCCAGACUCCUACGGGAGGCAGCAGUGGGGAAUAUUGGACAAUGGGCGAAAGCCUGAUCCAGCCAUGCCGCGUGUGUGAAGAAGGUCUUCGGAUUUUAAAGCACUUUAAGUUGGUAGGCGUUACCCACAGAAUAAGCACCGGCUAACUUCGUGCCAGCAGCCGCGGUAAUAC